rnacentral:misc_RNA from 1 species
GAUGAAGAACGUAGCGAAAUGCGAUAAGUAAUGUGAAUUGCAGAAUUCAGUGAAUCAUCGAAUCUUUGAACGCACAUUGCGCCCGCCAGUAUUCUGGCGGGCAUGCCUGUUCGAGCGUCAUUUCAACCAUCAAGCCCCAGGCUUGUGUUGGGGACCUGCGGCUGCCGCAGGCCCUGAAAACCAGUGGCGGGCUCGCUGUCACACCGGGCGUAGUAGAUUUUAUCUCGCUCAGGGCGUGCUGCGGGUCCCGGCCGUUAAAAGCCUUUUUUUACCCAAGGUUGACCUCGGAUCAGGUAGGAAGACCCGCUGAACUUAAGCAUAUAAAUAAGCGGAGGA